GACGAACGCUGGCGGCGUGCUUAACACAUGCAAGUCGAACGGAAAGGCCUGCUUUCCCUUGUGGAUUGCGGGUACUCGAGUGGCGAACGGGUGAGUAACACGUGAGUGAUCUGCCCCCAACUUGGGUAUAAGCCUGGGAAACUGGGUCUAAUUCCCGAUAGGACUGCAGGGUGGUGCCUGUGGUGGCAAACGAUUUUCUAGUGGUUGGGGAUGAGCUCGCGGCCUAUCAGCUUGUUGGUGGUGUAAUGGCCUACCAAGGCGGCGACGGGUAGCCGGCCUGGGAGGGUGGACGGCCACAUUGGGACUGAGAUACGGCGCAGACUACUACGGGAGGCAGCAGUGGGGAAUAUUGAACAAUGGGCGGAAGCCUGAUGCAGCGACGCCGAGUGGGGGAUGACGGCCUUCGGGUUGUAAACUCCUGUCGACAGCGAGGAAGCCACCUGGUUGGAAGGGUGGUGACGGUAGUGGUAGAAGAAGCACCGGCUAACUACGUG
rnacentral:rRNA from 1 species